AGAUUGAGUCAGCGACAGGCCGUGACAUCAGCUCGUGGUUUCUCCGCCGAGCGGCGGGGCUUCCUGUUGUGCCCCAGCAGCUCGCCGCGCUCGGGCGCCUAAAUAUUUAUAUUUAUUUAUAUACGCGCACGUAGGCGCGGAGGUGCGCGCUCCUAGCCAGCGAGCUCCGGUUCCUCCUGCUCGAGGCAUCACCGGCCCCGUUCCCCAUCGUUUCCCGCAGCCCUCGCCUCUCUCUUUUCGCAGCCAGGGCCGGCAGCGGGGCCGGAGAGCCGUGCGCCGCGGCGAGGCCCCGCCAAGAGGAUGAAAACAUGGGGCUCAAGUUAUCCUGCCUCAAAGGCUUGAAGACGUGCGUGAGCAGCGGGAACGGCAGCGGGGGGGUCCCGGCACCGGGCGAAAAACACCUGCACGUGCCCUCCAUCAUCGUCACGCCGCCCACGCCCACGGGCGCCACGUUGUCCCGGGACGCCCGGCGGGCAACGGGGGGGACGUCGUCGCCCUGCAGCCAGUGCUGAGCACCAGGAGGGGGGCACCGGAGCCCCCGGCAUCGCCCCGGGGCCGCAUCCUGCCCCGCCGGGGGCGACGCUUCCCGGAGAGCAGCUUCGCCAAGAAGCCCCCCGGAGAGGCCGGCGCGCGAAAGCAGAUGGAAAUUUAAUUUUUUAAUGACAGCAGCAGAUGGCAAAAGACACCAAA